rnacentral:piRNA from 1 species
UCAUCUUCUUCUCGACGUUGACCAG